GGAUACCGAGCACCCUACGAACAGCUAGCAACAACCAACAUUAAACACCAGUCGAUACUAGUGAUACAUGUAUAUGUAUAGUGUUCGUUUCAUUUUGUAAUGAAGGCAGCGUUGACUAAAAAAGAGAGGGGAAACUUAGGCAGUAGACCAACCGGAAAAGAAAAAACAGCAAAAGUUAUGAUGUUGACGUGAUGAUCUACUGCGUGCAGCCUGCAGCCAAGCAGUCUGGAACAUCGAGCCUUUGCUAUGCGUGAAUACCUAAGAAGUCACGAAGGGGUGGUCUCAGCGUGUUCCAUAUGAAGCUGGCUGCAUAACGGAACGAGUGGCGAAACAAAGCGGUUUUGUGCUUCGGUGUGACCAUAAGAUAAGUGGACGCUCUAGUAUUAAUUGUGUGAUAGUCGCGUGACCAUGCAAGUUUGUUGAAUAGGUACUGGGGUGAUUUGUACUUAAUUACACCAAACAGAAGCGCAGCUAGGUGCAGCCGCUGUCUGGCGGCUACCUUCAGUAGCCCGCAAGAGUUGAGAUAAGGGGUAACAUGGGAGCGGGGGGGGAUAUCCACACAAAAUCUAAUACAGGCAUUUUGUACCCUUUG